rnacentral:rRNA from 2 species
GUGGUUAAGUAAGUAAGGGCGCACGGUGAAUGCCUUGGCACUAGGAGCCGAUGAAGGACGGGACGAACACCGAAAUGCUUUGGGGAGCUGUAAGUAAGCUAAGAUCCAGAGAUAUCCGAAUGGGGGAACCCGGCAACCGCAGGUUGUCACACGCAAGUGAGGUAGACGCAGGGAACUGAAACAUCUUAGUACCUGCAGGAAGAGAAAGCAAACGCGAUUCCCAUAGUAGCGGCGAGCGAAGUGGGACGAGCCCAAACCAAUGUGCAUGCACAUUGGGGUUGUAGGACUCAGACGUGGUAUGAAUUAAGUUAGUCGAAACAUCUGGGAAGGUGUGCGGCACAGGGUGAGAGCCCCGUAGACGAAAGCGAGAAUCAACCUAUGAGUAUCCUGAGUACAGCGGAACACGAGGAAUUCCGUUGGAAUCUGCCAGGACCAUCUGGUAAGGCUAAAUACUCCCUA